GUUUUUCCAGUUGUUUAUAUCGAAACUAGCUUUUUAUAUAGUUCUUUCAGUAAGCUUUCGAACGCAUGGCAGGUAAACCAUUUUCCGAGUGGGUGCAGUUAGAGAACUUCCAGUGCCCAGCUGCAAGGUGUCCUUCAAAAAAACCAUUCACCUGGGUGUGUGCAAAAGAUGGGGACUAUACGUAUAUGAAUGCACUGGGGAACAUGAAAUGUUUAACAAAUGCUCACCAUGGUAAGUAUUAUUUCUGACAGUGCUAAAUAUAUCUUCAUAUCGUCAUUGAUUUCAUGGCAGUGGCUAAUGGAAAUAAAUUUUCAACAUACGGUUUAUACGGCGAACUCGGCCAUGCACAGUGUACCCAAAAAACCCAGAUCCAACUUGGCAAUCAACGACCGAGUUUACUGUGUCAGUAGUAAUCAAUAGCAUAUGGUAGCAUAGUCCAAUACAUUUCAAACAAUUCAAUAAACAAUUCGACUCGAUGAGUAAAGGUUUCUAAAAUGAAUUGAAGAUCCGAUAUAAAAUUCACUAGUACACCAGUGAUUAAAAAAAUCACAUAAAGACCAUGGUUUUGACGUAUCUUACUGAAACGUUCGGUUUCACCUAUAAUCACAACAUCGAAAUACACACAUAUCAAAAAUAUUUCAAAAUACACAAGGACAUUAGAUUUAAAGAAAAUGAUUGCUUUUUUAAAGUAACAUUAUUUCAUGGACCUGGAACUGCGGCGACGAGUUCCACAAUGGCGAGUAUCUCGCUGCGGACCUUGAAGGUUUCACAUUCGCCCUCUCUCAAGCGGUGCAACUAAUGGGCAAGAUGGGAAGCGCCUGGGUGGCGAACCUGAUUACGGAGCUGGGCAAGCAAUAUGGGCAAUAAUAGGUGCAGUAUGGAGGUUCAUCCAGAAUUAUAUAAUAUGGAACAAAUCACCGCUCGAUGAAAAGAUGACGUGCAUUUGUAUAAAAUAUGAAAACGAUAUAUACACAAAUGUGUUGCGCUAACAUUUGUUUAAAAAACUGGUGUAUUUUAUAUCGGUUCUUCAAAUAACAUGUUACUGUUUUAUCUCUUCUUUUCUCUUUUUUUUACUAUGCUAAAUUAACGUGAACAUCUGUUGACCAAAGGAUCUUAAACGAAGUAAGAAAGACUUACCUAUUCUACAAAAUGUGUCUCUUUUGUGUGCAUUGUUAUAUAGAUAAAUGCAUACAUGAAUAAGUAACAUACUUACGGUAUUGAAGCAAACCAUGUUUCCUGAUCAUACAUGCUUCGUAUAGAAACAAUUUUAAACAUAUUUGUGGUUGUGUGUCAUUUUGUUUUAGGGUCCCGUUUUAAUUUUAACAUAUUUUAAGCAAGUGAAGAACCACCACUAAAUUAUAAUAUCUACCUUAAUGGAUUGGUUCAUCAUGCAUUAAAAAAAAGUAUUUCAUGUUCAUGCAAAAUAGUUUAGAGCAAAUUACACCAGGGUUAUUAUUAAGGAUGUAGUUUUUGAUCAAUUGACAACAUGUUACAAACAGAUUAUUAUAUAGCUGGUGAAUAUUAACAUCAUUGGUUUAUAUAUUGAAUAAAAACAUUAACACUGUUAAAAUCUUAACCCAUAUACCAUUAUUAAAAUUGUAUUGCACAUAAGUAUUUCUCUCCAACGUAUACUUAAUUUGUUCUAUCUUGUUUUAAGUUUUGAUUGUUUGAUUUGGUUGUGAUUAUAUGGGAUGUUGUGUGUUUUCCGUAUGGUAUUUCGCAUGUCCGUUUAAGCAUUCAUGGUUAUGAAAUAAUUGUGUACAUGUUUGUAUAAAAUAAAUUGCUAUAUAUGUUGCAUAAACGUUAAUAAACGUGUAUUAUGCUUUAAACAUAGUUGAAUUAUCAAUUAUGUUUUUCCAAUACAAUUGAUACCACGUCGAUUCCUUUGGGUGCGUGUGCUUCGUUUAUUUAUGACAGAGAUGUGUACAUGUGCGAAAUAAUGUGUACCAUGUGUAUGGAAUGCUGGGUCGUUUGAAUUUGAAACGUAGGCGACUUAUACAUUUACGCAUCCGACGUCAUUAUUGUUAUUGUUGAUUUAUGUAAAUAUCAGCUUAGUUUGGAAUUGUUUUAAGUGUGAGGCAUUUGCGAGUAUGGAAUCAUUUAUGUCGGGUAAUUAUAUUGUUGGUAUUUAUAUUGUAUAUGUACGUUUGUAUUUAUUAUUAUUACGAGAGCGCGAUUAUUUGAAUUAUUUUAUUUACAUAAUAUUUUUAAUGUUUUUGUAAAUUUGA